rnacentral:rRNA from 1 species
AAAACCCCGCAAGGGGUUAGUAGAGUGGCAAACGGGUGAGUAACGCGUGGGUGACCUGCCUUCGAGCGGGGGAUAACGUUCCGAAAGGGACGCUAAUACCGCAUAACAUCCUGCCUUUGAAGAGGUGGAGAUCAAAGCUAGGGAUCGCAAGACCUGGCACUUGAAGAGGGGCCCGCGUCUGAUUAGCUAGUUGGUGAGGUAACGGCUCACCAAGGCUUCGAUCAGUAUCCGGCCUGAGAGGGCGGACGGACACACUGGGACUGAGACACGGCCCAGACUCCUACGGGAGGCAGCAGUGGGGAAUUGUUCGCAAUGGGCGCAAGCCUGACGACGCAACGCCGCGUGGAGGAUGAAGAUUUUCGGAUCGUAAACUCCUGUCGAAUGGGACGAAAAGAUUGCGGGUUAACAGCCUGUAGUCCUGACGGUACCGUUAAAGGAAACCCCGGCUAACUCCGUGCCAGCAGCCGCGGUAAUACGGGGGGGGUAAGCGUUGUUCGGAAUUACUGGGCGUAAAGGGCUCGUAGGCGGCCAACUAAGUCAGACGUGAAAUCCCUCAGCUUAACUGGGGAACUGCGUCUGAUACUGGAUGGCUUGGAUUCGGGAGAGGAAUGCGGAAUUCCAGGUGUAGCGGUGAAAUGCGUAGAUAUCUGGAGGAACACCGGUGGCGAAGGCGGCAUUCUGGACCGACAUUGACGCUGAGGAGCGAAAGCCAGGGGAGCAAACGGGAUUAGAUACCCCGGUAGUCCUGGCCCUAAACGAUGAAUGCUUGGUGUGGCGGGUAUCGAUCCCUGCCGUGCCGAAGCUAACGCA